rnacentral:rRNA from 1 species
AGCGAACGCUGGCGGUAGGCCUAACACAUGCAAGUCGAACGAACCUUUCGGGGUUAGUGGCGGACGGGUGAGUAACACGUGGGAACGUGCCUUUAGGUUCGGAAUAACUCAGGGAAACUUGUGCUAAUACCGAAUGUGCCCUUCGGGGGAAAGAUUAAUCGCCUUUAGAGCGGCCCGCGUCUGAUUAGCUAGUUGGUUGAGGUAAUGGCUCACCAAGGCGACGAUCAGUAGCUGGUCUGAGAGGAUGAUCAGCCACAUUGGGACUGAGACACGGCCCAAACUCCUACGGGAGGCAGCAGUGGGGAAUCUUGCGCAAUGGGCGAAAGCCUGACGCAGCCAUGCCGCGUGAAUGAUGAAGGUCUUAGGAUUGUAAAAUUCUUUCACCGGGGACGAUAAUGACGGUACCCGGAGAAGAAGCCCCGGCUAACUUCGUG